AGAGUUUGAUCCUGGCUCAGGAUGAACGCUGGCGGCGUGCUUAACACAUGCAAGUCGAACGAUCCUUCGGGAUAGUGGCGGACGGGUGAGUAACGCGUGGGAAUCUGCCCUUAGGAGGGGGAUAACGGCUGGAAACGGCCGCUAAUACCCCAUAUGCCGAGAGGUGAAACGAAUUUCGCCUGAGGAUGAGCCCGCGUCUGAUUAGCUAGUUGGUGGGGUAAAGGCCUACCAAGGCGACGAUCAGUAGCUGGUCUGAGAGGAUGAUCAGCCACACUGGGACUGAGACACGGCCCAGACUCCUACGGGAGGCAGCAGUGGGGAAUUUUCCGCAAUGGGCGAAAGCCUGACGGAGCAACGCCGCGUGAGGGAUGAAGGCCUCUGGGCUGUAAACCUCUUUUCUCAAGGAAGAAGAACUGACGGUACUUGAGGAAUAAGCCACGGCUAAUUCCGUGCCAGCAGCCGCGGUAAUACGGGAGUGGCAAGCGUUAUCCGGAAUUAUUGGGCGUAAAGCGUCCGCAGGCGGCCUUGUAAGUCUGUUGUUAAAGCGUGGAGCUCAACUCCAUUUAAGCAAUGGAAACUACAAGGCUGGAGUGUGGUAGGGGCAGAGGGAAUUCCCGGUGUAGCGGUGAAAUGCGUAGAUAUCGGGAAGAACACCAGUGGCGAAGGCGCUCUGCUGGGCCAUAACUGACGCUCAUGGACGAAAGCCAGGGGAGCGAAAGGGAUUAGAUACCCCUGUAGUCCUGGCCGUAAACGAUGAACACUAGGUGUCGGGGGAAUCGACCCCCUCGGUGUCGUAGCCAACGCGUUAAGUGUUCCGCCUGGGGAGUACGCACGCAAGUGUGAAACUCAAAGGAAUUGACGGGGGCCCGCACAAGCGGUGGAGUAUGUGGUUUAAUUCGAUGCAACGCGAAGAACCUUACCAGGGUUUGACAUCCUGCGAAUCCCUUGGAAACGAGGGAGUGCCUUCGGGAGCGCAGUGACAGGUGGUGCAUGGCUGUCGUCAGCUCGUGUCGUGAGAUGUUGGGUUAAGUCCCGCAACGAGCGCAACCCACGUCUUUAGUUGCCAGCAUUCAGUUGGGCACUCUAGAGAGACCGCCGGUGAUAAACCGGAGGAAGGUGUGGAUGACGUCAAGUCAUCAUGCCCCUUACAUCCUGGGCUACACACGUACUACAAUGCUACGGACAAAGGGCAGCAAGCUCGGGAGAGUUAGCAAAUCCCAUAAACCGUGGCUCAGUUCAGAUCGUAGGCUGCAACUCGCCUACGUGAAGGAGGAAUCGCUAGUAUCGCAGGUCAGCAUACUGCGGUGAAUACGUUCCCGGGCCUUGUACACACCGCCCGUCACACCAUGGAAGUUGGCCAUGCCCGAAGUCGUUACUCCAACCCUUGUGGAGGAGGACGCCGAAGGUGGGGCUGAUGACUGGGGUGAAGUCGUAACAAGGUA
rnacentral:rRNA from 1 species